GGCGGCGUGCUUAACACAUGCAAGUCGCACGAGAACUCUUCUGCUUGCAGAAGAUAGUAAAGUGGCGCACGGGUGAGUAACGCGUGGGUAAUCUACCUCUGAAUUGGGGAUAACAUUGUGAAAGCGAUGCUAAUACCGAAUAAUAUCCCGAGAACUUAGGGUUUUGGGAUCAAAGGUGGCCUCUACAUGUAAGCUACUGUUUAGAGAUGAGCCUGCGUACCAUUAGCUUGUUGGUAGGGUAAUGGCCUACCAAGGCAACGAUGGUUAGCUGGUCUGAGAGGAUGAUCAGCCACACUGGAACUGACACACGGUCCAGACUCCUACGGGAGGCAGCAGUGAGGAAUUUUGCGCAAUGGGGGAAACCCUGACGCAGCAACGCCGCGUGAGUGAUGAAGGCUUUCGAGUCGUAAAGCUCUGUCAAGUGAGAAGAACCUGUCCCGCGUUAAUACCGCGGGAUACUGACGGUAUCACUGAAGGAAGCACCGGCUAACUCCGUGCCAGCAGCCGCGGUAAUACGGAGGGUGCAAGCGUUAUUCGGAAUUAUUGGGCGUAAAGGGCGCGUAGGCGGUCUUUUAAGUCAGAUGUGAAAGCCCGGGGCUCAACCCCGGAAGUGCAUUUGAAACUAAGGGACUUGAGUAUGGGAGAGGGAAGUGGAAUUCCUGGUGUAGAGGUGGAAUUCGUAAAUAUCAGGAGGAACACCGGUGGCGAAGGCGACUUCCUGGACCAAUACUGACGCUGAGGCGCGAAGGCGUGGG
rnacentral:rRNA from 1 species